AAGGAGACUCCCAGAUCACUGACAACACCUACAAAGCAAAAUGGGUAGUCCAUGGCUUUGUCCUUAACUUGCACAUCCUGGAAUAAAAUCUGGAGCUAUAGAUUUAUUUCCAAAUUGGUAGGAGUAUCACUGUUGGUAAAUAAUGAUACAACAAACGAAGGGCUUAGGAGUAAUAAAUUUCCUAUUGAUUAGGGCAAUGUAAUCUCUGUUGGACUGUAGGCUGAAAAGUACCAAACUGAGAAACACCGAAGUUAGGUGAGGCUGAAGUUUUUCGAAUACCUUGAGGAUGCAGCAUACAGGAAUGCAUCCCCGCCAUCUGCCCAGGGGGAACAAAAUCACCUACUCUCAAUAGAGAAGAUGGAACAUCAGAUCUAUGUAACUAUUGACUACACACGAGUGGUGAACUUAAGUAUUGAGCGAGGGAAGAAAAUGGCUCCAAGUGUUCUACCUUAUGACAACUUAUGGCUUCCAAGAUUACUUCAGUCCAGUACAGUAUAUCGAUGCAACAGUUAAAGGAAGAGGCUUACCGCUAUGACUUCGAUGUGCAUCCUACAGAUUACGAGCUUUGCUUUAAACCUGAAUGGUACCCCCUCCAUGUGUUUAGCUAUUGUAAUCUCUGAACAAUGUGUUCAUGUCCCCAUUGUAAUAUAUUUUCCUAUUUUCUCACUUGUGUUUGGCACAUUUCUCUACUGCACUAUCUGUAAUUACCUCUCUGAUGGUCAAUGGAAUGUUAACCACUCAUGUUUCCUCUA